rnacentral:rRNA from 1 species
AGUUCCAAUACCGUAUAUUAAAGUGGUUGCAGUUAAAAAGCUCGUAGUUGGAUUUGUGGUUGGCGUAAGGCUUCCGCCCAUUUUGGGUUUGGGUGUUGCCUGAAGUUGCCAUCCUUGGCUGGAAUCUGUGUGGUAUUAGGUUGUCUUGCAGGGGAUGCCCAUCGUUUACUGUGAAAAAAUUAGAGUGUUCAAAGCAGGAUUAUGCUGUUGAAUAUGUUAGCAUGGAAUAAUAAGAUAGGACCUUGGUACUAUUUUGUUGGUUUGCGCACCGAGGUAAUGAUUAAUAGGGACAGUUGGAGGUAUUCAUAUUCCAUUGUCAUAGGUGAAAUUCUUGGAUAUUUGGAAGACAAACUACUGCGAAAGCAUUUACCAAGGAUGUUUUCA